CGGCGGACGGGUGAGUAACGCGUGGGUAACCUGCCUCAUACAGGGGGAUAGCAGUUGGAAACGACUGCUAAUACCGCAUAAGCGCACAGUACCGCAUGGUACCGUGUGAAAAACUCCGGUGGUAUGAGAUGGACCCGCGUCUGAUUAGCUAGUUGGUGGGGUAACGGCCUACCAAGGCGACGAUCAGUAGCCGACCUGAGAGGGUGACCGGCCACAUUGGGACUGAGACACGGCCCAA
rnacentral:rRNA from 1 species